CCUUUUUCUUCAUCAUAAUGUGUGGCCUCUGAAUAUAAACUAAAACUACCAUUAUACAAGGUAGAAGAUGAAAUAUUUCAAUCACAAGACUUUAUUUAAAUGUUUCACCUAGAUGUUACAAUCACAAACCAAGAGAACAUACCUGUACAUUGACUCAUAAUUCCGUUUUAAGUAGCUGUCUCAGGCAGAGAGAGAGCUUUACUAGGUACUAUGCUUUUGAGAGUGUAUUAAUAUGCAUAUACACUGAUUGUACAAAACAUUAGGAGCACCUUCCUAAUAUUGAGUUAUAUAUAACUCCCUUUUGCCCUCAGAACAGCCKCAAUUCAUCAGAGCAUGGACUCUUCCACAGGGAUACAGGCCCAUGUUGACUUCAAUGCUUCCUAAAGUUGUGUCAAGUUGGCUGGAUGUCCUUUGGGUGGUGGACCAUUCUUUAUACACAUGGGAAACUGUUGAGCGUGAAAAACCCAGCAGUGCUGCAGUUCGUGACACACUUUAACUGAUAUUGAAGCUCAAUCACCUGCGGAGGAGCUGAGGGGAUCUGAGGGCUGCUCGGGGGACUUUGCGAUGCAAAUGUGAGGUAAUUACCUARAGCCAGGAGAGUGAGUGGAAGGCAGCCCAGGCUAAAAUAGAGCAAGAAGGAAAAGCGACGGUGAGAGACGUGAAAGAUUCACAAGCCUGUUGAUGCUGACUGAUUGGAGCACUUGGAAUGAAGGGCAAAAAUGGAGGGGUGUUGUGUAGGAAAGGGAUUCACAGAAGAUAGCUGUGCCCUUGUGUUUUAAGCCCAUUCUUGUGUCUGUGCGUGUCCUCUUUUUCUUCUGCAAAAAAAGAUGAAUGUGUUCCAUGUUUUUCCUGACUCCAGAGAGAUUUGGUUAGUUGUCGUUGUGUGAUUAGCUUAAUGUAUGUCAUGGUUGCCAUGUUCAAGUGUAAUAGGCUGUAUAUGGAGAAUAAAAGCCGUUGACUAUGUG